rnacentral:rRNA from 1 species
GACGAACGCUGGCGGCGUGCUUAACACAUGCAAGUCGAACGGAAAGGCCCUGCUUUUGUGGGGUGCUCGAGUGGCGAACGGGUGAGUAACACGUGAGUAACCUGCCCUUGACUUUGGGAUAACUUCAGGCAACUGGGGCUAUUACCGGAUAGGAGCUCCUGCUGCAUGGUGGGGGUUGGAAAGUUUCGGCGGUUGGGGAUGGACUCGCGGCUUAUCAGCUUGGUGGUUGGGUAGUGGCUUACCAAGGCUUUGACGGGUAGCCGGCCUGCGAGGGUGACCGGCCACAUUGGGACUGAGAUACGGCACAGACUACUACGGGACGCAGCAGUGGGGAAUGUUGCACAAUGGGCGGAAGCCUGAUGCAGCAACGCCGCGUGCGGGAUGACGGCCUUCGGGUUGUAUACCGCUUUCGCCUGUGACGAAGCGUGAGUGACGGUAAUGGGUAAAGAAGCACCGGCUAACUACGUG